CAGUCGCCGCGGUAAUACGAAGGGUGCAAGCGUUAAUCGGAAUUACUGGGCGUAAAGCGCGCGUAGGCGGUUUGUUAAGUCUGUUGUGAAAUCCCCGGGCUCAACCUGGGAAUGGCAAUGGAUACUGGCAAGCUAGAGUGUGUCAGAGGAUGGUGGAAUUCCCGGUGUAGCGGUGAAAUGCGUAGAGAUCGGGAGGAACAUCAGUGGCGAAGGCGGCCAUCUGGGACAACACUGACGCUGAGGCACGAAAGCGUGGGGAGCAAACAGGAUUAGAUACCCCAGUAGUCCCUGUCUCUUAUAA
rnacentral:rRNA from 1 species